rnacentral:tRNA from 1 species
GGAAGGGUGCCGGAGUGGUCUAACGGGAUAGUCUUGAGAACUAUUGAACCUUUGCGGGUUCCGCGAGUUCGAAUCUCGCCCCUUCCG